UUCUUUUUCUCUCCCAUAUAAAAUACACAUUACAGUCUAACCCUAACCUAAUUUAUUUGAAGCAACAACGCCACUCCCCAUUUUGACAGCUCUCAUUCUCUCAUGAGAAAAGAAGAAGGCAGCAGCCAUCUUCCAUUUUUAACAAAAAAUCAGCCACGAAAAAGACAAACCUACACACGCAUAGAAAGAUAGAGAACGAGAGAGGUGACGAAGAAGAAGGAAGAAAUGAGUAUUUCUUGUUCAAGGAAAUUUCUGUUCAAACAUACGUGAUACAACAUAGCUCUCAAACCUCAUUCAUAACCUAUAUCAUCUUCCUUAUCACAAAAUCAGUUCUCUAUUCCUCCUCUUGUUCUAUUAGACUACGGAAAUUCGUCUUCCUGCCGACAUAAAUUGCGAAAUGCUCGACAAAUAUAAGUUUUUCCUUCCUUGGAGUAGUACUGUUUUCGGGUGUGUGUGCAACAUUUUACCCUUUUGAUUGAGGUCGAUUUUGGUUUCGAGUUUUCCGGUGUCGAUUCGAGGUUCCGGUUCGCAAUUUAGGCGCCUCAAAUUUAACUAAGGUCCUUUUUUUAUUGUUAAAUUUGGAUAUUCAUUUUGCAGUUCAUCUUGUACUAGUUUGUGCCUGAGAUUCUGCCACUUAGGAAAUUCACAUGUUAAUGUUAUCUUAUCGUGUUUGUGUAAUUUGUUGGUGUUUGUUAUUUUGUGAUAUUUUUGUUGUCUAUUUGUCUGUGUUGCAGACUCAUGGGAAUUUAUUAUUUGCCUCUUUACAUGAAUAAAAAUUUCUUUGUUUAGUAUUAUUUCUUUAUUAUUCCCUAUCAUUUCAUGCCAUUAGAAAUGAAAGUAUAUCCUGUUAAUGGUUCUUUAUGGUAUUGACUUGAAUGUUUUCUGAAAUCAUACAGCAACUUCACGCCUAAGCUUUUUCGGUGGAUUUCUUUAAUUAGAACAUUCGCCGUUAAUCUUGUUUCUUUGGAAAUUAAUUAACCUUUUUGGAUAUUCGUAGUUUGCUCUAGGCGCAAUUAAUAAAUCAUCGGGCCAUGGAUACUGUCACGACCCUAAAUCCAGAC
rnacentral:lncRNA from 1 species